rnacentral:rRNA from 1 species
AUUGAACGCUGGCGGCAUGCUUUACACAUGCAAGUCGAACGGCAGCGCGGGCUUCGGCCUGGCGGCGAGUGGCGAACGGGUGAGUAAUGCAUCGGAACGUGCCCAGUAGUGGGGGAUAGCCCGGCGAAAGCCGGAUUAAUACCGCAUACGACCUGAGGGUGAAAGCGGGGGACCGAAAGGCCUCGCGCUAUUGGCGCGGCCGAUGUUGGAUUAGCUAGUUGGUGGGGUAAAGGCUUACCAAGGCGACGAUCCGUAGCUGGUCUGAGAGGAUGACCAGGCACACUGGGACUGAGAAACGGCCCAAACUCCUACGGGAGGCAGCAGUGGGGAAUUUUGGACAAUGGGGGGAAACCUGAUCCAGCCAUGCCGCGUGGAGGAAGAAGGCCUUCGGGUUUGAAACCGCUUUUGUUCGGGAAGAAAAGCCUUCGGGUAAAACCCCCGGGGGGUGACGGUAACGGAAGAAAAAGCACCGGCUAACUACGUG